rnacentral:rRNA from 1 species
GAUGAACGCUGGCGGCGUGCUUAACACAUGCAAGUCGAACGGAAAGGCUCCUGCUUGCAGGGGUACUCGAGUGGCGAACGGGUGAGUAACACGUGGGUGAUCUGCCCUGCACUUCGGGAUAAGCCUGGGAAACUGGGUCUAAUACCGGAUAGGACGAUGGUUUGGAUGCCAUUGUGGAAAGUUUUUCGGUGGGGGAUGAGCUCGCGGCCUAUCAGCUUGUUGGUGGGGUAAUGGCCUACCAAGGCGUCGACGGGUAGCCGGCCUGAGAGGGUGUACGGCCACAUUGGGACUGAGAUACGGCCCAGACUCCUACGGGAGGCAGCAGUGGGGAAUAUUGCACAAUGGGCGCAAGCCUGAUGCAGCGACGCCGCGUGGGGGAUGACGGCCUUCGGGUUGUAAACUGCUUUCGCUAGGGACGAAGCGCAAGUGACGGUACCUGGUGAAGAAGCACCGGCUAACUACGUG